CAUCUGAAUACUGGCGCGGGCGACAGCUGAAUCAAAGAUUGAAGGAACGAUUGGCUGCCCAAGGUGAAGGGAGCAAUCAGUUGUCCGUGCCGCAUGAGGCCUAAUAAGUCUUGGAUUUGAAGAUUGUGUAAACAGUACAACCACAUGCUAUAUGGGCACUGGCUUGGUCAAGUAAGCUAGUCAGCCUUAGGUGUCGAUGUCGCCGUACCGCAGAUGGGAUAGUUGCCUUGCGAGGAGUAUCCUCAGCACAGAUGGGAGGACCGGUUUGAGGACGUACUCUCAGUUCCGUGCGCCAGACCCGGUGGGCAUGUCACAUCUUUGGGGGAUCUAGUCCAAAGACAUCGUCACAAUCUCCCUGCCGGUAUACCAAAUGGUGUACUACGCUAGCGACGGCUAGUGGCAACAAGUCGGGAUUGUGUCGUGUGGGUAAAGAGUAUAACCUCUGCAGAGUGUAAAACUAUUCUAAUAGCCGUGUCCACGGUCAUGGACGACACAUGAAUCUUUCUUGACAUACGGGACCUGUCUUGCUUAUUUCCUCUUUGCCCCAAUUGUUGGAACCUAUGAUGAGUGUGAGUUGAUCGAGGAUCCUCACUUUUAUGAAAGUUACUCUCGAUAUAAACAUGUUCUCGUCAAAAACUGCUUUUAUCCAAAUGCUAUUGUUUUCAAAUAAAAUUAGCUUUUAUGCAAAUGAGCCAUAUAGCCUUCCUUUGAAGCCACAUGUAGCUAUUAGGACCUUCUCCAAAGGAGGCAUGUUGAGUACGUAAUGUACUCAUGGCAAUACUUUCGUUGACAACAGAGUUACAUGAAGAUGAAGGUGAUGACUACGACCACUAUGGUGAUCCGUAGGAGUGAGGUCACGUGGACUACAUCGACUGCCUAUGGCUGAGAUGGAGUCGCUACGCAUUGUAUUUUC
rnacentral:lncRNA from 1 species